rfam:Aedes albopictus isolate Foshan contig16851, whole genome shotgun sequence.
UGUUCUGUGGCUUAGUUGGUUAAUGCGCCGGUCUAGCGAAUACGGAGUCGUGGUUCAAAUCCCACCAGAACGC